rnacentral:rRNA from 1 species
AGUGAACGCUGGCGGUAGGCCUAACACAUGCAAGUCGAACGGCAGCACAGUAAGAGCUUGCUCUUACGGGUGGCGAGUGGCGGGCGGGUGAGGAAUACAUCGGAAUCUACUUUUUCGUGGGGGAUAACGUAGGGAAACUUACGCUAAUACCGCAUACGACCUACGGGUGAAAGCAGGGGAUCUUCGGACCUUGCGCGAUUGAAUGAGCCGAUGUCGGAUUAGCUAGAUGGCGGGGUAAAGGCCCACCAAGGCGACGAUCCGUAGCUGGUCUGAGAGGAUGAUCAGCCACACUGGAACUGAGACACGGUCCAGACUCCUACGGGAGGCAGCAGUGGGGAAUAUUGGACAAUGGGCGCAAGCCUGAUCCAGCCAUACCGCGUGGGUGAAGAAGGCCUUCGGGUUGUAAAGCCCUUUUGUUGGGAAAGAAAAGCAGCAGGUUAAUACCCCGCUGUUCUGACGGUACCCAAAGAAUAAGCACCGGCUAACUUCGUG